UAGAGUUUGAUCCUGGCUCAGAACGAACGCUGGCGGCGUGCCUAAUACAUGCAAGUCGAACGAGAAAGUGUAGCAAUACAUUAGUACAGUGGCAGACGGGUGAGGAAUACAUAGGUAACCUUCCCCUAAGAUGGGAAUAACCUUCCGAAAGGAGGGCUAAUACCAAAUGAGACCACAGGGACUACGGUCCUCGGGGUUAAAGAUGACCUCUAUUUAUAAGUUAUCGCUUAGGGAUGGGCUUAUGCACCAUCAGGUAGUUGGUAAGGUAACGGCUUACCAAGCCUUUGACGGUUAGCUGAUCUGAGAGGUUGAUCAGCCACACUGGAACUGAGACACGGUCCAGACUCCUA
rnacentral:rRNA from 1 species